AUUCUGUGUGAUUUAUGCAGCGAAUUUCUUGCUCUUGUAAUAAAAACACGGACAGAGAAGUUGGCAGCAGGACCAUGGCUCAAUAAACCAAGAGAACAAAAAUCUCCUACAACACAAUCAGGAAAGUGAUUUUUUUUUUUCCUCCACAGCUCGUUUUGUGAGGAGAAAUUGAUCUGUCUAAUCUCUUAUCUGUGGCUAUGAAAUUGUAUUUCCGUCUUAAUAGGCCUACAAAUGUUACAGAUGAAUAGCUCAUAGACGUGCUGCAAGCAACAGGAAUACUGAAGUGGAGCCUGGAUUUGCUCAGUUUCAUCUGUGGGAUCCAACAGGCAGAAGCACAAGGAGCCACAGCCGACUUUGGACCCCUCCAUGGGGACCCAGCCCAGAGUGGUAUUUUCACCCAGUUCCUCCUUCAGUCAGGCUGGGGAUGUCUCUGAAGGAGCUGCGUUCGGUUGCAAGCGUUAGCUCUGUUCUUAAAUAUUUGGAUUGCAAAGAUGUGAACUGACACUGCUCUUUUAAAGCUAAAUUCCCCAUCUUCUAUCUGACAGAUGCUGUCUCAUCUGCCGGCGUCUCCACACGAGCGCGACGUGCCGACGUGAAGUGCUCCCAGCUGUGUCCGUGCAUCAGAAUGACAACAGCCCAUCUCUCUCCACACAGCCCAUCUGUUAAUGUAAAUCUGGCGACACUCCGCUUCAUUUGUCUCCAUUGUGCCCAGAGCAGCAAAGCCAGUUCAGAAAGUGUUGUGUUUGCAGCCCCUGGCUUUGGCAUUCCGUUAUCAGCCAUGGGCAGGAGGACUUUCCCAACAGGUCUCUGUCUGGGUGUCAGCAGAGAGGUGACAGAGGGACGUGGCCUCGGGGUGCCCUGCGCUCCAUCCGUGCACCUGCAUCGCGUCGGCGCCGCUCGAUCCGAACCGCCACUGUGUUUACAGAUUGCUCUGUAUGCAGAGCAGCCUCCGCCGGCUCCCAUUACCGCUGGAUAAACACUGCUUGCUGCAAAACAUGACUUUGAGCGAUGACAGGAAAACGCUCUGUGUUGUCACGCAGAUAAAAGCACGGCGUCCUCGGCACAAAGCAGCCGCCGCCGCGACAAAGCAGCGCGGUUUGUCUUGUUGGUGCUGGAGAGGGGUUUGACGUGGAGCCUGGAGGCGCCUCCAAAGGGAAACGUCCCAAAGGCAACUUUAUCGCGGGCUGAAAAGUACAAAAAUAAGGUUUUUCGGGGGUGUCCAUCCAAAAUCAUGGCUGUUUCAGGAGGAGUUUGCUCUCCCCAAAAUACAACCGCAGGGCAGCAACUCCUGUGCCACAAAUCCAUCUCCAUCAUAGAGAGGGAACUGUGCAAAUAACUGUCAUCUGCAGACACGGGCUUUAUCUCCUCUGUCUGUGUUUUAAUACAGGAAAUAUCACCUGCUCCUCCAGCUCCUUUCAUAAACAGAGAAUUUAUCUGUGAGCAAGCUAACC
rnacentral:lncRNA from 1 species